UAGGUACUCCCUCCGUUCGGAAUUACUUGUCGCAGAAAUGGAUGUAUGUAGAUGUAUUUUAGUUCUAGAUACAUCCAUUUCCGAGACAAGUAAUUCCGAACGGAGGGAGUAGUAA
rnacentral:pre_miRNA from 1 species